GUGAGUGUAGCUCACUGGGUGAGCACUUGCCUAGCAUGCAUGAGGUCCUGGGUUCGGUUUCCGGCAUCACA
rnacentral:tRNA from 1 species